AUCCAUCUGACGAGUCCUAAAUAGGACGAAAUGCGCAUCCUGAAU
rnacentral:hammerhead_ribozyme from 1 species